GGCGCCGUGGCCAAGUGGCUAAGGCAUCGUCGGAUUGCAAAUCCGACAUCGGCGGUUCGAAUCCGCCCGGCGCCU
rnacentral:tRNA from 1 species